rnacentral:rRNA from 1 species
UACAGAGGGUGCGAGCGUUGUCCGGAAUCACUGGGCGUAAAGGGCGCGUAGGUGGUGGCUUAAGCGUGCGGUGAAAGCUCGGAGCUCAACUCCGAGUCGGCCGUGCGAACUGGGCUCACUGGAGCAUAGUAGAGGCAGGUGGAAUUCCGGGUGUAGCGGUGGAAUGCGUAGAGAUCCGGAAGAACACCGGUGGCGAAGGCGGCCUGCUGGGCUAUGGCUGACACUGAGGCGCGACAGCGUGGGGAGCAAACGGG